GGGCCCGCACAAGCGGUGGAGCAUGUGGUUUAAUUCGAUGAUACGCGAGGAACCUUACCAGGGCUUAAAUGUAAGUUGCAUAGAUCAGAGAUGGUCUUUUCUUCGGACUACUUACAAGGUGCUGCAUGGUUGUCGUCAGCUCGUGCCGUGAGGUGUCAGGUUAAGUCCUAUAACGAGCGCAACCCCUGUCGUUAGUUACCAUCAUUAAGUUGGGUACUCUAGCGAGACUGCCGGUGCAAACCGUGAGGAAGGUGGGGAUGACGUCAAAUCAUCACGGCCCUUACGUCCUGGGCUACACACGUGCUACAAUGGCCGGUACAGAGAGCAGCCACUACGCGAGUAGGAGCGAAUCUACAAACCGGUCUCAGUUCGGAUCGCAGUCUGCAACUCGACUGCGUGAAGCUGGAAUCGCUAGUAAUCG
rnacentral:rRNA from 1 species